UUCCUUCAUCUCCUUCAUCAUCACAUUCAUACUCAUUAAUCAAUCUUCAUAUAACCCAGAGAAAAAAAAAUCUCUUCAUCAAAAUCAAAUCAUUUUCACUGUCUUAAUCAAUAACAACAACACAUAAUAUCACAAUCAGAUUCAACUGGAAUUCAACAAGUAACAGGAAACAAAAACAACAAUCUUAACCGGAACAGUGGUGCCAAGAACAAAACCCACAAAAAAAAUCAACCUUUUGAAGUGAGAUUAUCAAGAACGAGGGAAGGAAGAAUCAGAUUCACAUCAAGAAUCGAAGGAAGAAUAAGAUUAUCAAGAACAACCCCUUUAUCUUAGAGAAAAAAAAACGAAAUCAUUCACAUCAAAACUGUCAGAUUCGGAUUCAAUUUUAUGUAUUUGGAUUGUUCUUCUGCACCUGGAUUCAAUUCAUUCACAUCAAAACGGAAUUAUAGUGAAAAUAAGAGAAGGAGAGUAAAUGUUGUUGUAUUGCACAUGGGUUUUGUGAUUUUAGGUCUUCUGCAUAUGUGUUUCAAAUUUGAGAACAUAAAUGUAAUGGAGGAAAAAAAAAAUGAACUAGAAAGAAGUGA
rnacentral:lncRNA from 1 species